rnacentral:rRNA from 1 species
CCUACGGGGUGCAGCAGUGAGGAAUAUUGGUCAAUGGACGAGAGUCUGAACCAGCCAAGUAGCGUGAAGGAUGACUGCCCUAUGGGUUGUAAACUUUUUUUAUAAAGGAAUAAAACGAGGCACGUGUGCCUUUUUGCAUGUACUUUAUGAAUAAGGAUCGGCUAACUCCGUGCCAGCAGCCGCGGUAAUACGGAGGAUCCGAGCGUUAUCCGGAUUUAUUGGGUUUAAAGGGAGCGUAGAUGGGUUGUUAAGUCAGUUGUGAAAGUUUGCGGCUCAACCGUAAAAUUGCAAUUGAUACUGGUAGUCUUGAGUACAGUUGAGGUAGGCGGAAUGCGUGGUGUAGCGGUGAAAUGCUUAGAUAUCACGAAGAACCCCGAUUGCGAAGGCAGCUUACUAAACUGUGACUGACAUUGAUGCUCGAAAGUGUGGGUAUCAAACAGGAUUAGAUACCCGGGUAGUC